UAUAAAACCACACAAAAACAUGUCAAAAAAUAUCAACUAAGAAGUUAAUACAAAAGUUUUUUUUUUUUUUAUGUAAAGAAGAAAGCAGAUACUAGCAAUAAAGCUGAAAUAGGUGGAGGGAAAUAAAGCAGAAAGCAAAUACUAGCAAUAAAUUUGAAAUAGGUGGAGGGAAAUAAAGCAGAAAGUAGAUACUAGCAAAAAUAUUGAAAUGGAAAUUGAUGGAGGGAAAUAUAGCAGAAUGCAGAUACUAGCAAAAAAUUUGAAAUAGGUGGAGGGAAAAUAAACGAAAAACAGAUACUAGCAAAAAAAUUGAAACGGGUGAAGGGAAAUAAAGAAUAAAGCAGAUACUAACAAUAAAUUUGAAAUAGGUGGAGGGAAAUAAAGCAGAAAGUAGAUACUAGCAAAAAUAUUGAAAUGGAAAUUGAUGGAGGGAAAUAUAGCAGAAUGCAGAUACUAGCAAAAAAUUUGAAAUAGGUGGAGGGAAAAUAAACGAAAAACAGAUACUAGCAAAAAAAUUGAAACGGGUGAAGGGAAAUAAAGAAUAAAGCAGAUACUAACAAUAAAUUUGAAAUAGGUGGAGGGAAAUAAAGCAAAAAGUAGAUACUAGCAAUAAAUUUGAAAUAGAUGGAGGGAAAUAAAACAUCAAGUUGAAAUGGUGGAGGGAAAAAAGUAGAAAACAGACACUAGCAAUAAAAUUGAAAUGCGUCAAGGGAAAUAAAGCAAAAAGGUAAAUACUAGCACUAAAGCAGAAGGCAGAUACUAGCAAUAAAGCUGUUGAAACGAGUGGAGAGAAAUAAAGCAUAAAGUUGAAAAGGGUGGAGGGACAUAAAUUUAAACUAGGUGGAGGGAAAUAAAGCAAAAAGCAAAUACUAGCAUUAAAGCAAAACGCAGAACAUAGAUACCACAAUAAAGCUGAAACGAGUGGAAAGAAAUAAAGCAAAAAAAAAAAAAAAACAGAUACUAGCAAUGAAGUUGAAAUGGUUGGUGGGAAAUAAAGCAAAAAGCAGAUACUAACAAUAAAGCUGAAAGUAAAAAGGGGACAAGAGUAAGCAGAUAAUAAAUACUAUAUGGAGAGAAAUGGUAGUGCAUAUAUUUCACCU
rnacentral:lncRNA from 1 species